rnacentral:rRNA from 1 species
CCUACGGGAUGCACCAGUGGGGAAUUUUCCGCAAUGGGCGAAAGCCUGAUCCAGCCAUGCCGCGUGAGUGAAGAAGGCCUUAGGGUUGUAAAGCUCUUUCACCGGUGAAGAUAAUGACGGUAACCGGAGAAGAAGCCCCGGCUAACUUCGUGCCAGCAGCCGCGGUAAUACGAAGGGGGCUAGCGUUGUUCGGAAUUACUGGGCGUAAAACGCGCGUAGGCGGAUAGAUAAGUCAGAGGUGAAAUCCCGGGGCUCAACCCCGGAAUUGCCUUUGAUACUGUUUAUCUUGAGUGCAGAAGAGGUAAGUGGAAUUCCGAGUGUAGAGGUGAAAUUCGUAGAUAUUCGGAGGAACACCAGUGGCGAAGGCGGCUUACUGGUCUGCGACUGACGCUGAGGCGCGAAAGCGUGGGGAGCAAACAGGAUUAGAUACCCGCGUAGUC